UCCGUAGCUCAAUUGGUUAGAGCGCUAGCCUGUCACGCUAGAGGUUGACGGUUCAAUUCCGUUCGG
rnacentral:tRNA from 1 species